rnacentral:tRNA from 1 species
GCACCGGCCGCCUGUUGGAGAAGGCAGGCAGUCUGUAAAACUGUCGCUCACUGAAGCUUAGAAGGUUCGAAUCCUUCCCGGUGCA